UACAGAGGGUGCAAGCGUUGUUCGGAAUUAUUGGGCGUAAAGCGCGUGUAGGCGGCUCGUUAUGUCGGGUGUGAAAGCCCUCAGCUUAACUGAGGAAGUGCGCCCGAAACUGGCGAGCUUGAGUGUCGGAGAGGAUAGCGGAACACCCGGUGUAGAGGUGAAAUUCGUAGAUAUCGGGUAGAACACCAGUGGCGAAGGCGGCUAUCUGGACGACAACUGACGCUGAGACGCGAAAGCGUGGGGAGCGAUCCGG
rnacentral:rRNA from 1 species